UACGUAGGGCGCAAGCGUUGUCCGGAAUUAUUGGGCGUAAAGAGCUCGUAGGCGGCCUGUUGCGUCCGCUGUGAAAUCCCGGGGCUCAACCCCGGGCGUGCAGUGGAUACGGGCUGGCUGGAGGCAGGCAGGGGAGAACGGAAUUCCUGGUGUAGCGGUAAAAUGCGCAGAUAUCAGGAGGAACACCGGUGGCGAAGGCGGUUCUCUGGGCCUGUACUGACGCUGAGGAGCGAAAGCGUGGGGAGCGAACAGG
rnacentral:rRNA from 1 species